GUGACGUGCUCGUUGGUACUCCGGGAAGUAUCACGUUUGGUUCUUGGUUUCCUAAGGUGGAAACUAGGAGUGCAUCAUUUAGUAAGCUAGGUUAAUGAGGACUUGACUCUAGAGAUUAGGUUCGCCGAGGCAUUUCGGUAGAUGCUACGGAUUAACGGAGUCUCAUGCUGGGAAAAGAGAAAGGCUGGAAGUCAGGCGCAGCCAGGGGAGGAACUCAGUCUCCCUGGAAGAAGAGAUCAUGCAGCUCUGGAAGCUUCUCAGACCGACCACCUUUUGGGAGAGACUGUGAUGCCGCUGCUGGGAGGACCACAUCCUGACCAGGGUCUCUUUGUUCUGGAUGCUUCUUGCCCUCUAUUUAAACCUAAACCUCGUAACACAGGACCCAUAAGAUGAAGGUGGGGUGAGGGUCGCUGGACUUUUAUUCGUUCCUCUUCCCAGUGUGACCACAUUGAAAUAAAUCUUUCUCGCCUUUUCA